rnacentral:rRNA from 1 species
GUCCACGCCGUAAACGAUGGAUACUAGCUGUUGGGAGUAAUCUCAGUGGCUAAGCGAAAGUGAUAAGUAUCCCACCUGGGGAGUACGUUCGCAAGAAUGAAACUCAAAGGAAUUGACGGGGCCCGCACAAGCGGUGGAGCAUGUGGUUUAAUUCGAUGAUACGCGAGGAACCUUACCAAGGCUUAAAUGUAGAUUGACCGUUUUGGAAACAGAACUUUCGCAAGACAAUUUACAAGGUGCUGCAUGGUUGUCGU